CUAUAGGUGUUCUUCUUAUUCAAGUUUAAUUUAAUUAUAAUUUGAUUAUUAUAGUCAAGAAUUUUUGGGUAUUAGGGUUUCAGUGCGUUAGGUGUUUUGAAUGAAAAUUUUAAAUACUAAGCCUUUUCGCUGCACCACCGGAAUCCAACAUAACCAGUCGAGAAUAAUCAAUGCUAGGAAGACACCCACAUCUCUACAA
rnacentral:lncRNA from 1 species